GAAGAAGAUUUCUUCAUAAGUAAAGAGCAAACUGCACUGCGGAACUGGGAAGCCCAGCAGUAUUGCACACAACCACGACAACUGGAGAGCAUAUGGUUCAAGACUGGAGACAGAAGUUAUCCAGAUUUUCUUUCUAAUGAGAGUUCCUGUGUAAAAGACAUCAUUUGCUGGACGUUUUUCUUCAGAAGUGCAUCUGAAUGGGAUAACUUUGAAGAGCUCGUAACUUCACUUCCAAAAGGACCCAAUGGAAAGAAAGAGUUACAGUCCUUUUCCUGAAUAAAUGCUGCAGGCCUAUGGAAGUGUGAAGCUUAGAGAUGCUCCUUUUAAGGAUAGCCAUUUUUCUCCACUAAAGCAUUCAGUGUUCACAUUAUUUAAAAGCUGAAGCAUUAUAAAGUAUUACAGAAUCACCACAAUUACUGGUGCCACUUGUGGACACUUUCCAUUUCAAUUUCGCUAGUUGUGCAGUAUGAGGUUCAAUGCUGCUGUGCUAGACUCCAUUGCCAGGCGAACAUCUUCUUUCUUCGAUAAGGAAGGAUGGCUGAAGAUAUGCAGAAUGUCACAUGAUGUUCAACCAAUAGAGCCAACAGAGAGAUGGUGCCGAUUGAAGGGAAACCUGCUAUUCUUAAUGAAAACUCAGAACAAAG